rnacentral:lncRNA from 1 species
CAGCUAAGGAAUCUAUGAUCUGCUUCUGGGAAUAAUAACCAACCAACCACCAAAAAUGUGAGGACAUUGAUUGCCAGCCGAGUAUGAUUGAGUCCAGUCAAUAACACACAGCAUGGAGAUGACCUGUCAUAAGAAGCCCAGCACAAAUUGCUGGUCCUCUGAACUGACCAAGUGGAGGGGAAGACACAGGAAUGAAAACCACAUGGACCGGAGCACCUCCUUCGGCACCCUGUUGAGUAUUCUACACGUCAGAUAACUUGAAACAGUGAAUGGACUGUA